rnacentral:rRNA from 1 species
UACGUAGGGUGCAAGCGUUGUCCGGAAUUAUUGGGCGUAAAGAGCUCGUAGGCGGUUUGUCGCGUCUGCUGUGAAAACUCGGGGCUUAACUCCGGGCCUGCAGUGGGUACGGGCAGACUAGAGUGCGGUAGGGGAGACUGGAAUUCCUGGUGUAGCGGUGAAAUGCGUAGAUAUCUGGAGGAACACCGGUGGCGAAGGCGGCAUCCUGGACCGAUACUGACGCUGAGGAGCGAAAGCCAGGGGAGCAAACGGG